AUUGAACGCUGGCGGCAUGCCUUACAAAUGCAAGUCGAACGGUAACAGGUCUUCGGAUGCUGACGAGUGGCGAACGGGUGAGUAAUACAUCGGAACGUGCCCGAGAGUGGGGGAUAACGAAGCGAAAGCUUUGCUAAUACCGCAUACGAUCUCAGGAUGAAAGCAGGGGACCGCAAGGCCUUGCGCUCACGGAGCGGCCGAUGGCAGAUUAGGUAGUUGGUGGGAUAAAAGCUUACCAAGCCGACGAUCUGUAGCUGGUCUGAGAGGACGACCAGCCACACUGGGACUGAGACACGGCCCAGACUCCUACGGGAGGCAGCAGUGGGGAAUUUUGGACAAUGGGCGCAAGCCUGAUCCAGCCAUGCCGCGUGCAGGAUGAAGGCCUUCGGGUUGUAAACUGCUUUUGUACGGAACGAAAAGACUCCUUCUAAUAAAGGGGGUCCAUGACGGUACCGUAAGAAUAAGCACCGGCUAACUACGUGCCAGCCGCCGCAGUAAGAC
rnacentral:rRNA from 1 species